UACAGAGGUCUCAAGCGUUGUUCGGAUUCAUUGGGCGUAAAGGGUGCGUAGGCGGCGCGGUAAGUCGGGUGUGAAUUCUCGGGGCUUAACUCCGAAACUGCAUUCGAUACUGCCGUGCUUGAGGACUGGAGAGGAGACUGGAAUUUACGGUGUAGCGGUGAAAUGCGUAGAUAUCGUAAGGAAGACCAGUGGCGAAGGCGGGUCUCUGGACAGUUCCUGACGCUGAGGCACGAAGGUCAGGGGAGCAAACGGG
rnacentral:rRNA from 1 species